rnacentral:rRNA from 1 species
UACGUAGGGGGCAAGCGUUGUCCGGAUUUAUUGGGCGUAAAGCGUGCGUAGGCGGCUGCGCAAGUCGGUUGUGAAACCCCGGGGCUCAACCCCGGAACUGCAUCCGAUACUGCGUGGCUAGAGGACCGGAGAGGUUAACGGAAUUCUAUGUGUAGCGGUAAAAUGCUCAAAUAUAUAGAGGAACACCAAUCGGCGAAGGCAGUUAACUAUUCGACUCCUGACGUUGAGGCACGAAAGCGUGGGGAGCAAGACGG